rnacentral:pre_miRNA from 1 species
GGAGGCUCGGCGCCUGGUCUCACAUGGUGGAUAGAGUUGGCUUCGGCGCCAUUGAACCUUUAGCACCAUUUGAAAUCAGUGCUUCUGGCUCUCCUC